CCCAGAUCCCGCCAGGGCUCAGCGGGGGCCCCGCGCCCCAGCCCCGAGGCCCUCGAUGCCCUAAUAGUCUGUGAAAUGCUCGGUGUUCAGAUCCUGGGCAGUUUGGAGUGGAAACAAUAUGCUUUAGGGCACUGACCCUUAGGAUGGACAUAGAAUUAUCUGCUUGGAAUGGUUUGGUGUGCAGUUGAUUUAGGACUUCCUGAUCAUCUAAGUGCAACACAGCGUAGCAGCCUCACUGAAAGGUCUGAUUUCAAGAGACAUUCCUGGAACCUCACCUACAGCAGCACUCUAGGGGUCCCGUUGGGAGUAGCUCCUUUUUUUUUCUGUAGACGAUUCUGAACCUUUCGAGAUUUUACCACUUUCAUUCUCACCUCAAAAACUUCAUGAAUGGCCUUCCGGAAGCAAUGAAAAUUAUAAUCAAUAAGCCCUGGAGAAGAGAAAAAAUGUUUAGCAAUGUCACAUAGGAAAAAAUCUCCAUCUUUCCAUGACUCCAGGGUCAGGACAAGCAAGUAGGUGUGAAUAGAGGAGUAGCUUUAACC